ACCUACCUGAGGUGUCCCAGACAGUCAGUGGCAGACGACAUAGAAUUCCAUGGAGCGAAGUGAAAGGUGAUUGGUUUUCCUCUUGACCCUCUUGGAAAUUGAGGUCAAAGGUCAGAGGCUGGCCCAUGGGGGGGUUGGGGGAGGGGAGGCUCCUUGGCACCAACUUCCGGGAGGAGCCCAGGGUAGUGGGGACUAGUGAGUGUCCAAAUCGAUCACCCGGAUGUGUUGCUCAGUUAGGAGUUUCUACAUCUGGGUGUGAGACACAGUUCAGAGGGAUGUGGCUUGGGUUGGGCUGCGGCCAGACAAUCUGGAAUGUGUUCUAUUUGGAUGGUUUGAGGACACACGGAAAAGAUCCCUGAGGACACCAAAGGGUACAAUGGAAAGAGCCAGAGUCCUGGAAGCACCCAUGGGCUGGGAUCCCAGCCGCUCCACCAACUUCCCAUGCAGAAACGGAGGCUCUCCCAAGCUCCUGCAGCUGCCGUGCCCCGUGGGCUCUUAAUCAAUGUUACAUGCCACAGAACUCAAGGUAUUCUCAAGCCCUGCAGCUUGUCUGGAGUUCAAGGUGAAAAGACAUGUCAGGAGUGAAAGAGAAGUAAAGAUCACCAGCAGCAGCAAAGACCGUGAAGAGGACAUCAGUGCUGGAUGGACAGGUGGCAUCUGAGUGGACCUUCAGGGUGGUUGGAGCCACGCAGGCCAAGAUGGCAUUCCAGAGGAAUGAAGGAGGUUCUGCCAAGGUUUGGAGGUAGAAAAUGGUGUCUCAGUGCUUUUAAGUGGACAGAAAAGAGUGGCCCAUUUUAGCUGUAGCAAAGAACUGGAGAUUGAAGGGCAGAUACAAGGAAAUCAAGUUGUCAGGCUGUGGCAAUGUGGACACCAGGGUGGGGGAUCUGACCUCACUGGGAGGUGGUGUGGAGGGAGGUGUGGCUGUUUCUGAGGAAGGGAGGGUCACCCUCAGAGCUGGGAUCCAGGAAGAUCACUCUGUGCCUGAACACAGGCGAGAGGCCAGAGAGCUUCCCAGAGCUCUGACCGAGGUCUAGGCCAGGGACGCUGAGGCCCCUGUGGGCAGUGGGAGUACAGAUGAGGGCAAGAUCCUGGGGAUUGAAGUCGGUAGAAUCACCGAGUCUUGGCAGCUAACUAGAAGAGUCAGGGGAGACGGAGGACCCAAGCCUGACUCCCCGAUUGCCCUCCGGAGCAGCCGAAUGGUUGAGAUCAAGCCCAAGGGCAGAAGAGGCUUGGGGAGAAUGUCAGCCGUUCUUCACUGUUGUGACUAAAUACCCGAGGAAAUGAACUUAGAGGAGGAAAGACUUAUUUUGGCUCCGGGUUUCCAUCCACAGUCAGCUGGUUCCGUGGCAGGGGUCUGGUGGGGAGGCAGAACAUCAUGGUGGGGACGGGCUGGCAGAGGCAGGCGGGGAACCCAUCAACAGAUCAAUCCACCCAUGGUGUCAGAACCCCCAGGAACCAAAUCACUUCUCAAAAGCCCUGCCUCCAGACAUGGCUGCAUUUGGGACGAAACCUCAACCCAGGAGCCUUUGCGGGACAUUUGGGAUUCCAACAGGUCCCAGGGAGGAAGAUGCAGGGAUGGAGCUGCCCCAGAGGCUCCGCACUUGAGAAGUCGGAGGGCAUCUGCGUGGCAGAUCCCGACCUGGAGGGAGGUCUCAGGACCGGGCUGGGUGUUUGAUGAUGGUUACGGUCCUGAGUUUGGCUGGCUUGUCGAGGGAGACAGAUGGAGGGGAGGGGGCAUGGCAGAGACCCUGGCUGCUUCUGUCCCUUUGUCCCAUGUGUGCCCCCCAGGCUCUUCCCCGUCCCCCACGACCCUCCCCCACUUCCUCUCAUCUGACUUCCUUUCUGGCCUUGUUAGCUGCGUCAUUUUAGGGAACUUGGAAACCAGACCUCGUGUGUCUUCAACUUACAAAAUUAUACACUCCAAUGAGCCGGAAAGGGGUUUUUGGAAUAAUUCUAUUGAAAAUAUGUGGGUUUUCGCCUUGAAAUGAUCUUCCUGAAAUUAUCCCCUUUCUCUCUUUAUAAAUAUUAAAAAGAAGGAAUCGGAGCUUAGUGCUCUAAAUCCCUAUUCAGAGACUCUCUCUUCUGCCUCCCAGGAAAGCAACCGAGAAGGAAGGGAGGAGGAUGGCUCAGUUCCCUUUAACAGAUCCUGCACCCCAGCCCCUGAGCCGCCUCUGGCGGUGGCCCUGACCAGCCUCUCCUCAUCCCCCCUCAGCCCAGCUGGGAGGCAGGACUUGCUGGAAUGUCCUGUGUCCCUGUGGGGGUGUGGGGAAGAGCACAGCAGGGCCCAGGAAGCUUGGGAAGAUGGAGAUGAGGGAGAUGGACAGACUGAAGUGGGAAAAGAGAGUGUCAACAGGGAGGGACCCAGCGAUUGACCAGCACUGACCUUGGAGACCUGGGGUAGAGCCAUACCCCACAGCCAUCAGUCACAGCGCACCCCCUCCCUGGCACCGCCCUGCGUCACACAUUCCUAUGGCUUCACUUUGGACUGGAGGCAGAGAGGCUGGCUGGAAGGACAGCCGGGUCAUCGUCACUCAGAAAAACAAGAGGGAAAGGGAACCAAACAGUUGCCAACCUACAGAGCCUCCAAGACCUUUUAUGACGGUGGAAAAUUUUAAGUUUCCAAGGACAAGAAUUUUCAGCGGCUCCAUCCAUCGCGGUCCCCACCCCCAGCCCUCAAAACAGUGCUUGACACAAGACGGAGUUUUAUAAAUAUUGGUUUAGUGGGUGGAAGAAUGAUGGAUGUGUCUUACGGAACACAGGAGAGUGGGGGAGAUAAAAUGACCCUUUUAGACUCACAGCCGACCGGGAGAGGGCUGGGAUUUCAAUUCAGGUCCGCCUGAUUCCAAAACUCUGCCCCUUUCAUUUCUUCUCCAUGGCACUAAUAUAUUCUUCCUCUGUUCCCACGGUUAGUGCAUCUGUCCCUCUAGAGUGGCAGCCCCGUUCAGAGCCUGGCCCUGGAGAUGGGAGCCUGGGUCUCCACACCCUUGCUGUGCCUCUAUUGGGUCGGAGGGUCAGGAGAGGCAAGACCCUUCCCUGAUCCCUCCCACAAACAGGCUUCUCCUGUAGCUGGGGAGCAGCCGGUCAUCUCCCUGACGGGCCCAUCUCAGAGGACCACCCCUGGAAAUUCAGUGCCUUUCAACUGCACUGCUGGCCCCUUCAGCUCCACAAACUUCAAUGUCACCUGGCUGAAGGACAGUGAUGAACAUCCACCCUCAACCCAGUCUCAGAUGACCGAUGACAAAGGCAGGUACUUCGUAACCAGCAAGGUACUGGUGUCACUGACUGGAAAAGAGGUCUUGUCUCAGAUCACCUGCCAAGUUACCCAUGGGGACCUCACUGAGCCCCUGCAGAUGAGCUUGAAUCUCUCUGAAGUGCUCCAAGUCAUCCCCACCCUGAAGAUCACCAUGGACCCCGACGGGACUCGCAUCCAGGUGCAUCAGAGAGUGAACCUCACGUGCCACGCCAGUCACUUCUACCCCACAGACGUGAAGCUCAUCUGGAUGGAGAACAGGCACAAGAUCCCCACGGUGGAGUCCCCCCAGGUCACUAGAAACCCAGAUGGGACAUUCUCUCUGGAGGACACACUGCAGGCAGAGGUCACGCUGAACGGGAGUGAGUUUUCCUGCUGGGUGGUCCAGGACGAGCAGCCCCCCAUGCAGGCCAACAUCACCCUGCGAGCGCAGGCUUCCAACCGGGGGAAAGGAAGGAUGCUAACCAUCUCUAACAAGGUGGAAGGCCCCCUGCAGCGAGCCGAGCCAGGCACCAGCAUCCAGCUGACGUACACAUCCUCUGGACUACACACCCGUCAGGUCAGCGUGACCUGGCUCAAAAACAAGCACGAGCUCCCCCAAUCCAAGACCGUCAUCCUCGCCAAUGGAGACACCUACAAUGUGACCAGCAGUGUGCUCGUCCCUCUGCAGUUGGAUGACAUGAACUCUGAGGUCCUCUGCCACGUCAAGCACAAGCUGACAACGGUGUUCCAGAAAACCAUCGACUUGAGCCAGUACCUUCGCAUUCCCCCUACAGUGACAGUGUCCCAGUCUUCGACUCCCUCCGGCUUGGUGGCUGUUACCUGCCAUGUGCAGAGAUUCUAUCCCCAGGAGACACACCUCACCUGGCUGGAACACUGCCACGCACUCAAAAGGACUGAUCAGCCCACGCCCAAGCUGAACAGCGAUGGCUCCUUCACCUUGGAAAGCUUGCACUUGGUGAACGUGUCGAGGCAGAGGUCUGAGUGGCUGGUCACCUGCAGGGUGCAACACCAGCAACAGCCUGCCGUCCAGGCCAGCCUCAUCCUGUCCACAGCGUCCCAUCCCAAACGCGAGCCCUCUGGGAGCCCAGGUCCAGGGACGUCCACCCUUACCUUUGUGGCUUUCCUCUUGGGUGUCAAGGUGCUGCUGUUGGUGAGUUUCACGGUCUCCUACGUCUGUAGGCGGUGGAAACUGUGACAGGUCCAAAUGGACAGAAGCAGCUCCAAGGACCCGGAAGUGACCUCAGGCCCCGCUCUUUCCUCUGCCACCCCUGCCACAGAAUGCU